CAGUCGCCACGGGAAUACGAAGGGUGCAAGCGUUACUCGGAAUUACUGGGCGUAAAGCGUGCGUAGGUGGUGGUUUAAGUCCGUUGUGAAAGCCCUGGGCUCAACCUGGGAAUUGCAGUGGAUACUGGGUCACUAGAGUGUGGUAGAGGAUAGUGGAAUUUCCGGUGUAGCAGUGAAAUGCGUAGAGAUCGGGAGGAACAUCUGUGGCGAAGGCGGCUAUCUGGGCCAACACUGACACUGAGGCACGAAAGCGUGGGGAGCAAACAGGAUUAGAUACCCGGGUAGUCCCUGUCUCUUAUAC
rnacentral:rRNA from 1 species